rnacentral:tRNA from 1 species
GGAGAGUUGGCCGAGUGGUUUAUGGCGCUCGCCUCGAAAGCGAGUGGGUGAAAACCCGCAUAGGUUCGAAUCCUAUACUCUCCGCCA